rnacentral:rRNA from 1 species
UACGAAGGGUGCAAGCGUUAUUCGGAGUAACUGGGCGUAAAGAGCGCGUAGGCGGUUUUAUAAGUCGCGAGUUAAAUUCCACAGCUUAACUGUGGGUGAGCUCGUGAUACUGUAAGGCUAGAGGUCAAGAGAGAGAAGUGGAAUUCUCGGAGUAGCGGUAAAAUGCGUAGAUCUCGAGAGGAACACCGGUAGCGAAGGCGGCUUCUUGGCUUGUACCUGACGCUGAGGCGCGAAAGCGUGGGGAGCAAACAGG